rnacentral:rRNA from 1 species
CGACCGGCAAACGGGUGCGGAACACGUACACAACCUUCCUUCAAAUGGGGAAUAGCCCAGGGAAACUUGGAUUAAUACCCCGUAAUAUUAUGAGGUGGCAUCACUUUAUAAUUAUAGCUCCGGCGUUUGGAGAUGGGUGUGCGGCUGAUUAGGCAGUUGGCGGGGUAACGGCCCACCAAACCUACGAUCAGUAACUGGUGUGAGAGCACGACCAGUCACACGGGCACUGAGACACGGGCCCG